rnacentral:rRNA from 1 species
GAAGGGGGCUAGCGUUGCUCGGAAUUACUGGGCGUAAAGGGCGCGUAGGCGGACAUUUAAGUCAGGGGUGAAAUCCCAGAGCUCAACUCUGGAACUGCCUUUGAUACUGGGUGUCUUGAGUGUGAGAGAGGUAUGUGGAACUCCGAGUGUAGAGGUGAAAUUCGUAGAUAUUCGGAAGAACACCAGUGGCGAAGGCGACAUACUGGCUCAUUACUGACGCUGAGGCGCGAAAGCGUGGGGGAGCAAACAGGAUUAGAUACCCUGGUAGUCCACGCCGUAAACGAUGAUUGCUAGUUGUCGGGCUGCAUGCAGUUCGGUGACGCAGCUAACGCAUUAAGCAAUCCGCCUGGGGAGUACGGUCGCAAGAUUA